GACGAACGCUGGCGGCGUGCAUAAUACAUGCAAGUAGAACGCACAGUUUAUACCGUAGCUUGCUACACCAUAGACUGUGAGUUGCGAACGGGUGAGUAACGCGUAGGUAACCUGCCUGGUAGCGGGGGAUAACUAUUGGAAACGAUAGCUAAUACCGCAUAAUAUUAAUUAUUGCAUGAUAAUUAAUUGAAAGGUGCAAUUGCACCACUACCAGAUGGACCUGCGUUGUAUUAGCUAGUAGGUGAGGUAACGGCUCACCUAGGCGACGAUACAUAGCCGACCUGAGAGGGUGAUCGGCCACACUGGGACUGAGACACGGCCCAGACUCCUACGGGAGGCAGCAGUAGGGAAUCUUCGGCAAUGGACGAAAGUCUGACCGAGCAACGCCGCGUGAGUGAAGAAGGUUUUCGGAUCGUAAAGCUCUGUUGUAAGAGAAGAACGGGUGUGAGAGUGGAAAGUUCACACUGUGACGGUAUCUUACCAGAAAGGGACGGCUAACUACGUG
rnacentral:rRNA from 1 species